rnacentral:rRNA from 1 species
CCUACGGGAGGCAGCAGUGGGGGAUAUUGCACAAUGGGGAAACCCUGAUGCAGCGACGCCGCGGGUGGGAAGACGGUCCUCUGGAUUGUAAACCACUGUCCCCAGGGACGAAGAUGACGGUACCUGGGGAGGAAGCUACGGCUAACUACGUGCCAGCAGCCGCGGUAAUACGUAGGGAGCGAGCGUUGUCCGGAAGUACUGGGUGAAAAGGGAGCGUAGGCGGGACUGCAAGUUGGGUGGCAAAUCUACCGGCUCAACCGGUAGCCGCACUCAAAACUGCAGUUCUUGAGUGAAGUAGAGGCAGGCGGAAUUCCUAGUGUAGCGGUGAAAUGCGUAGAUAUUAGGAGGAACACCAGUGGCGAAGGCAGCCUGCUGGGCUUUUACUGACGCUGAGGCUCGAAAGUGUGGGGAGCAAACAGGAUUAGAUACCCUAGUAGUC